GACGAACGCUGGCGGCGUGCUUAAAAAAGGAAAGUAGAAAGGAAAGGCCCUGCUUUUGUGGGGUGCUCGAGUGGCGAACGGGUGAGUCACACGUGAGUAACCUGCCCUUGACUUUGGGAUCACUUCAGGAAACUGGGGCUAAUACCGGAUAGUACCUCCUGCUGCAUGGUGGGGGUUGGCUAGUUUCGGCGGUUGGGGAUGGACUCGCGGCUUAUCAGCUUGUUGGUGGGGUAGUGGCUUACCAAGGCUUUGACGGUUAGCCGGCCUGAGAGGGUGACCGGCAAAAUGGGGACGGAGAUACGGCCCAGACUCCUACGGGAGGCAGCAGUGGGGAAUAUUGCACAAUGGGCGGAAGCCUGAUGCAGCAACGCCGCGUGCGGGAUGACGGCCUUCGGGUGGUAAACCGCUUUCGCCUGUGACGAAGCGUGAGUGACGGUAAUGGGUAAAGAAGCACCGGCUAACUACGUA
rnacentral:rRNA from 1 species